GACGAACGCUGGCGGCGUGCUUAACACAUGCAAGUCGAACGGAAAGGCCCUUCGGGGUGCUCGAGUGGCGAACGGGUGAGUAACACGUGGGUGAUCUGCCCUGCACUUUGGGAUAAGCCUGGGAAACUGGGUCUAAUACCGAAUAUGAUCAUCGGCUUCAUGGUCGGUGGUGGAAAGCUUUUGCGGUGUGGGAUGGGCCCGCGGCCUAUCAGCUUGUUGGUGGGGUAAUGGCCUACCAAGGCGACGACGGGUAGCCGGCCUGAGAGGGUGACCGGCCACACUGGGACUGAGAUACGGCCCAGACUCCUACGGGAGGCAGCAGUGGGGAAUAUUGCACAAUGGGCGCAAGCCUGAUGCAGCGACGCCGCGUGAGGGAUGACGGCCUUCGGGUUGUAAACCUCUUUCAGCACAGACGAAGCGCAAGUGACGGUAUGUGCAAAAGAAAGACCGGCCCACUACGUGCCAGCAGCCGCGGUAAUACGUAAGGUCCGAACGUUGUCCGGAAUUACUGGGCGUAAAGAACUCGUAGUGGUUUGUCGCGUUGUUCGUGAAAACUCACAGCUUAACUGUGGGCGUGCGGGCGAUACGGGCAGACUGGAGUACUGCAGGGGAGACUGGAAUUCCUGGUGUAGCGGUGGAAUGCGCAGAUAUCAGGAGGAACACCGGUGGCGAAGGCGGGUCUCCGGGCAGUAACUGACGCUGAGGAGCGAAAGCGUGGGGAGCGAACAGGAUUAGAUACCCUGGUAGUCCACGCCGUAAACGGUGGGUACUAGGUGUGGGUUUCCUUCCUUGGGAUCCGUGCCGUAGCUAACGCAUUAAGUACCCCGCCUGGGGAGUACGGCCGCAAGGCUAAAACUCAAAGGAAUUGACGGGGGCCCGCACAAGCGGCGGAGCAUGUGGAUUAAUUCGAUGCAACGCGAAGAACCUUACCUGGGUUUGACAUGCACAGGACGCUGGUAGAGAUAUCAGUUCCCUUGUGGCCUGUGUGCAGGUGGUGCAUGGCUGUCGUCAGCUCGUGUCGUGAGAUGUUGGGUUAAGUCCCGCAACGAGCGCAACCCUUGUCCUAUGUUGCCAGCGGGUUAUGCCGGGGACUCGUAGGAGACUGCCGGGGUCAACUCGGAGGAAGGUGGGGAUGACGUCAAGUCAUCAUGCCCCUUAUGUCCAGGGCUUCACACAUGCUACAAUGGCCGGUACAAAGGGCUGCGAUGCCGUGAGGUGGAGCGAAUCCUUUCAAAGCCGGUCUCAGUUCGGAUCGGGGUCUGCAACUCGACCCCGUGAAGUCGGAGUCGCUAGUAAUCGCAGAUCAGCAACGCUGCGGUGAAUACGUUCCCGGGCCU
rnacentral:rRNA from 1 species